rnacentral:lncRNA from 1 species
GGCAAAUCGCCAGGCGCCAUUUUGCAAAGCUCUGCGGUUGAUGGAUCUCCGGGCCCCUGGAGCAUCCGCCCUCGAUAUAUAACCAGCAUUGUACUGAGGCGAGGACAGAUCGUGAGAACUGGCAGCUGUGCUAGCAUCAAGGAAACUUGA